UUAGUGGCGGACGGGUGAGUAACGCGUAGAAAACCUGCCGUAUACUGGGGGAUAACACUUAGAAAUAGGUGCUAAUACCGCAUAAGCGCACAGCUUCGCAUGAAGCGGUGUGAAAAACUCUGGUGGUAUACGAUGGUUCCGCGUCUGAUUAGCUAGUUGGUGGGGUAAUGGCCUACCAAGGCAACGAUCAGUAGCCGGCCUGAGAGGGUGAACGGCCACAUUGGGACUGAGACACGGCCCAAACUCCUACGGAAGGCAGCAG
rnacentral:rRNA from 1 species